GGUUAAGCGACUAAGCGUACACGGUGGAUGCCCUGGCAGUCAGAGGCGAUGAAGGACGUGCUAAUCUGCGAAAAGCGUCGGUAAGGUGAUAUGAACCGUUAUAACCGGCGAUGUCCGAAUGGGGAAACCCAGUGCAAUUCGUUGCACUAUCGUUAACUGAAUACAUAGGUUAACGAGGCGAACCGGGGGAACUGAAACAUCUAAGUACCCCGAGGAAAAGAAAUCAACCGAGAUUCCCCCAGUAGCGGCGAGCGAACGGGGAGCAGCCCAGAGUCUGAAUCAGCUUGUGUGUUAGUGGAACGGUCUGGAAAGUCCGACGGUACAGGGUGAUAGUCCCGUACACCAAAAUGCACAGGUUGUGAACUCGAAGAGUAGGGCGGGACACGUGGUAUCCUGUCUGAAUAUGGGGGGACCAUCCUCCAAGGCUAAAUACUCCUGACUGACCGAUAGUGAACCAGUACCGUGAGGGAAAGGCGAAAAGAACCCCGGCGAGGGGAGUGAAAAAGAACCUGAAACCGUGUACGUACAAGCAGUGGGAGCACCUUCGGGUGUGACUGCGUACCUUUUGUAUAAUGGGUCAGCGACUUAUAUUCUGUAGCAAGGUUAACCGUAUAGGGGAGCCGCAGGGAAACCGAGUCUUAACUGGGCGUUAAGUUGCAGGGUAUAGACCCGAAACCCGGUGAUCUAGCCAUGGGCAGGUUGAAGGUUGGGUAACACUAACUGGAGGACCGAACCGACUAAUGUUGAAAAAUUAGCGGAUGACUUGUGGCUGGGGGUGAAAGGCCAAUCAAACCGGGAGAUAGCUGGUUCUCCCCGAAAGCUAUUUAGGUAGCGCCUCGUGAACUCAUCUUCGGGGGUAGAGCACUGUUUCGGCUAGGGGGUCAUCCCGACUUACCAACCCGAUGCAAACUACGAAUACCGAAGAAUGUUAUCACGGGAGACACACGGCGGGUGCUAACGUCCGUCGUGAAGAGGGAAACAACCCAGACCGCCAGCUAAGGUCCCAAAGUCAUGGUUAAGUGGGAAACGAUGUGGGAAGGCACAGACAGCCAGGAUGUUGGCUUAGAAGCAGCCAUCAUUUAAAGAAAGCGUAAUAGCUCACUGGUCGAGUCGGCCUGCGCGGAAGAUGUAACGGGGCUAAACCAUGCACCGAAGCUGCGGCAGCGACACUAUGUGUUGUUGGGUAGGGGAGCGUUCUGUAAGCCUGCGAAGGUGUGCUGUGAGGCAUGCUGGAGGUAUCAGAAGUGCGAAUGCUGACAUAAGUAACGAUAAAGCGGGUGAAAAGCCCGCUCGCCGGAAGACCAAGGGUUCCUGUCCAACGUUAAUCGGGGCAGGGUGAGUCGACCCCUAAGGCGAGGCCGAAAGGCGUAGUCGAUGGGAAACAGGUUAAUAUUCCUGUACUUGGUGUUACUGCGAAGGGGGGACGGAGAAGGCUAUGUUAGCCGGGCGACGGUUGUCCCGGUUUAAGCAUGUAGGCUGGUUGUCCAGGCAAAUCCGGAUAAUCAAGGCUGAGGUGUGAUGACGAGGCACUACGGUGCUGAAGUAACAAAUGCCCUGCUUCCAGGAAAAGCCUCUAAGCAUCAGGUAACAUUAAAUCGUACCCCAAACCGACACAGGUGGUCAGGUAGAGAAUACCAAGGCGCUUGAGAGAACUCGGGUGAAGGAACUAGGCAAAAUGGUGCCGUAACUUCGGGAGAAGGCACGCUGGUGUGUAGGUGAAGUCCCUGCGGAUGGAGCUGAGACCAGUCGAAGAUACCAGCUGGCUGCAACUGUUUAUUAAAAACACAGCACUGUGCAAACACGAAAGUGGACGUAUACGGUGUGACGCCUGCCCGGUGCCGGAAGGUUAAUUGAUGGGGUUAUCCGUAAGGAGAAGCUCUUGAUCGAAGCCCCGGUAAACGGCGGCCGUAACUAUAACGGUCCUAAGGUAGCGAAAUUCCUUGUCGGGUAAGUUCCGACCUGCACGAAUGGCGUAAUGAUGGCCAGGCUGUCUCCACCCGAGACUCAGUGAAAUUGAACUCGCUGUGAAGAUGCAGUGUACCCGCGGCAAGACGGAAAGACCCCGUGAACCUUUACUAUAGCUUGACACUGAACAUUGAGCCUUGAUGUGUAGGAUAGGUGGGAGGCUUUGAAGCGUGGACGCCAGUCUGCGUGGAGCCAACCUUGAAAUACCACCCUUUAAUGUUUGAUGUUCUAACGUUGGCCCCUUACCGGGGUUGCGGACAGUGUCUGGUGGGUAGUUUGACUGGGGCGGUCUCCUCCCAAAGCGUAACGGAGGAGCACGAAGGUUAGCUAAUCCUGGUCGGACAUCAGGAGGUUAGUGCAAUGGCAUAAGCUAGCUUGACUGCGAGCGUGACGGCGCGAGCAGGUGCGAAAGCAGGUCAUAGUGAUCCGGUGGUUCUGAAUGGAAGGGCCAUCGCUCAACGGAUAAAAGGUACUCCGGGGAUAACAGGCUGAUACCGCCCAAGAGUUCAUAUCGACGGCGGUGUUUGGCACCUCGAUGUCGGCUCAUCACAUCCUGGGGCUGAAGUAGGUCCCAAGGGUAUGGCUGUUCGCCAUUUAAAGUGGUACGCGAGCUGGGUUUAGAACGUCGUGAGACAGUUCGGUCCCUAUCUGCCGUGGGCGCUGGAGAAUUGAGGGGGGCUGCUCCUAGUACGAGAGGACCGGAGUGGACGCAUCACUGGUGUUCGGGUUGUCAUGCCAAUGGCACUGCCCGGUAGCUAAAUGCGGAAGAGAUAAGUGCUGAAAGCAUCUAAGCACGAAACUUGCCCCGAGAUGAGUUCUCCCUGAGACUUUAAGUCUCCUGAAGGAACGUUGAAGACGACGACGUUGAUAGGCCGGGUGUGUAAGCGCAGCGAUGCGUUGAGCUAACCGGUACUAAUGAACCGUGAGGCUUAACCUU
rnacentral:rRNA from 1 species